AUUGAUCGCUGGCGGCAUGCCUUACACAUGCAAGUCGAACGGCAGCAUGGAGAGCUUGCUCUCUGAUGGCGAGUGGCGAACGGGUGAGUAAAGCAUCGGAACGUACCGUGUAGUGGGGGAUAACGUAGCGAAAGUUACGCUAAUACCGCAUACGCACUGAGGUGGAAAGCAGGGGAUCGUAAGACCUUGCGCUAUACGAGCGGCCGAUGUCAGAUUAGCUAGUUGGUAGGGUAAAGGCCUACCAAGGCGACGAUCUGUAGCGGGUCUGAGAGGAUGAUCGGCGACACGGGGACUGAGACACGGCCCAGACUCCUACGGGAGGCAGCAGUGGGGAAUUUUGGACAAUGGGGGCAACCCUGAUCCAGCCAUGCCGCGUGAGUGAAGAAGGCCUUCGGGUUGUAAAGCUCUUUCGGCCGGGAAGAAAUCGCACAGGCUAAUACCCUGUGUGGAUGACGGUACCGGCAUAAGAAGCACCGGCUAACUACGUGCCAGCAGCCGCAGUAA
rnacentral:rRNA from 1 species